rnacentral:ncRNA from 1 species
CCCACUGAAUUUAAGCAUAUUAGUCAGUGGAGAAAAAGAAACUGACAAGAAUUCCCUCAGUAAUUGCGUGUGAACAGGGAAGAGCCUAGCGCCGAAUCCCCAUCCCCAUGGGGUGUGGGAAAUGUGCCGUAGGGAAGACCCACUCCCUGGUGCUGCUUGUGGGGCCCAAGUCCUUCUGAUCGAGGCUCAGCCCGGUGGACAGUGUGAGGCCGGUAGUGGCCCCUAAGGCACUGGGUCCGGUCUUCCCGGAGUUGGGUUGCUUGGGAAUGCAGCCCAAAGCAGGUGGUAAACUCCACGUAAGGCUAAAUACAGGCAGGAGACCGAUCCUCAACAAGUACCGUAAGGGAAAGUUGAAAAGAACUUUGAAGAGAGUUCAAGAGGGCGUGAAACCAUUAAGAGAUAAACAGGUGGUGUCCGCGCAGUCCCCCCACGAGGAUUCAAUCCGUCUGUGUCCUCAGCCAUGCCAGUGGUAUCCCAGCGGAUCUCCCCCGCCUUCCUCAGAUACCUUCACCCGUCAGCCACCUGGAAAUGCGCCUGGUAGCGGCCGGGGUCAUCCCCUGCGAACCUCACUCCGGGCCCUGCCCACCUGUCCCCGCACCCGCCCGAGCGCGCCCCCCGCCCCUCCUAGAAGGGAGG